rnacentral:tRNA from 1 species
CCUAAUAUGUCAGAAAAUUGUAAUAAACUUAAAAUUUAUAAAUAAAAUAUUUAUAUAUAUUUUUAUUAGGA